GGAAUUUUUAAAGCUGUCCAUGUGAUUCCACUCUGCAGUCCCAGCUCAGAAUUCUGCUCCAGGAUCUCUGCAGACCUUGGGAAGAAGGGCUGAAGGAAGCCUUGCCCAGCAUUGUGCUCUGGGGGCCAGUGACCGGGCAGCACGUCUGGGGGCUCACCUCCAUCCCCCCUCACCUAACAACACUCUGUGCCGGGGUGCCUGGCCCACAUCUACAAAUGGGUCCACAGGUGAUGCUGAAGCUGCAGCUCUGGAGACCUCACUCGGAGAACCACCGCCCUACAGGAAGCAAAGCCCAGAGAAUUCUUCCUGCUCUGGUAUUGUGGAAAUUUCUAUCAAAUUUCUGUAGCUAGAGACUUUCUCCUGUUAAACUACAGAUAAAUUUAGAAACAGAGAAAGUUAAGUUUGAUAGGGCCUCCCUGGUGGCUCAGACAGUAAAGAAUCUGCCUGCAAUGCAGGAGACCUGAGUUCAAUCCCUGGAUUGGAAAGAUCCCCUGGAGGAGGGCAUGGCAACCCACUCCAGUAUUCUUGACUAGAGAAUCUCAUGGACAGAGGAGCCUGUUAAGCUACAGUCCAUAGGGUCACAAAGAGUCAGAUGUGACUGAGCGACUAAGCAUACAAGUUUGAUAAGUAAUCAAAGCAUUUGAGAAAGGUUCAAUAGGGGAGUGGCACAAAUUCUUUGCUACCAAGAGAAAAGCAUACUGAGAUUUGUUUUUGGAAAAUGAAGGACACGGUUAAUGAUUGCUGUUAGUGUAAACAGAAAGGAUAAACUUUCAAAGUUCAAACUUCUCAUUCGCAGAGG
rnacentral:lncRNA from 1 species